UGGAUAACCGUGGUAAUUCUAGAGCUAAUACAUGCAUCAAGCCUCGACUUCGGGAGAGGCGUAUUUAUUAGAUAAAAAACCAACGCCCUUCGGGGCUGCUUGGUGAGUCAUGAUAACGCAACGAAUCGCAUGGCCUUGCGCCGGCGAUGGUUCAAUCAAAUUUCUGCCCUAUCAACUUUCGAUUGUAGUUUAGUGGACUACAAUGGUUUCAACGGGUAACGGGGAAUUAGGGUUCGAUUCCGGAGAGGGAGCCUGAGAAACGGCUACCACAUCCAAGGAAGGCAGCAGGCGCGCAAAUUACCCAAUCCCGACACGGGGAGGUAGUGACAAUAAAUACUGAUACAGGGCUCUUUUGGGUCUUGUAAUUGGAAUGAGUGCAAUCUAAAUCCAUCAACGAGGAACAAUUGGAGGGCAAGUCUGGUGCCAGCAGCCGCGGUAAUUCCAGCUCCAAUAGCGUAUAUUAAAGUUGUUGCAGUUAAAAAGCUCGUAGUUGAACCUUGGGCCUGGCUGACCGGUCCGCCUCACCGCGUGCACUGGUUCGGCCGGGUCUUUCCUUCUGCGGAACGGCAUGCCCUUCACUGGGUGUGUUUUGGGAAGCAGGACUUUUACUUUGAAAAAAUUAGAGUGUUCAAAGCAGGCCUUUGCUCGAAUACAUUAGCAUGGAAUAAUGGAAUAGGACGGUGCUCCUAUUUUGUUGGUUUCUAGGAGAGCCGUAAUGAUUAAUAGGGACAGUUGGGGGCAUCCGUAUUCAGUUGUCAGAGGUGAAAUUCUUGGAUUUACUGAAGACGAACUACUGCGAAAGCAUUUGCCAAAGAUGUUUUCAUUAAUCAGUGAACGAAAGUUAGGGGAUCGAAGACGAUCAGAUACCGUCGUAGUCUUAACCAUAAACUAUGCCGACUAGGGAUCGGGCGAUGUUAUUGUAUUGACUCGCUCGGCACCUUUCGAGAAAUCAAAGUGUUUGGGUUCUGGGGGGAGUAUGGUCGCAAGGCUGAAACUUAAGGAAAUUGACGGGAAGACCCUUA
rnacentral:rRNA from 1 species